AUGGCUCAGGAUGAACGCUGGCGGCGUGCUUAACACAUGCAAGUCGAACGAAGCAACUUAUUACGAUCCCUUCGGGGGUGACGAUUGUGACUGAGUGGCGGACGGGUGAGUAACGCGUGGGUAACCUGCCUUGUACAGGGGGACAACAGUUGGAAACGACUGCUAAUACCGCAUAAGCGCACAGCUUCGCAUGAAGCAGUGUGAAAAGUUUUUUCGGUACAAGAUGGACCCGCGUCUGAUUAGCUAGUUGGUGAGGUAACGGCCCACCAAGGCGACGAUCAGUAGCCGACCUGAGAGGGUGACCGGCCACAUUGGGACUGAGACACGGCCCAAACUCCUACGGGAGGCAGCAGUGGGGAAUAUUGCACAAUGGGCGAAAGCCUGAUGCAAGCGACGCCGCGUGAGCGAAGAAGUAUUUCGGUAUGUAAAGCUCUAUCAGCAGGGAGGAUAAUGACGGUACCUGACUAAGAAGCACCGGCUAAAUACGUGCCAGCCGCCGC
rnacentral:rRNA from 1 species